GAUAUGAACCAUCUGAAUGUAAGAACUAAAUCUAUGAAACUCUUGGAAGAAAACGUAGGCCUUAGAUAAGACAACAGAAUCUUAGACAUGUCAUCAAGAACUAGGCAUUUGAACCUCUUAGAUCUUCACUUUUCUGGCCAGAUCCAGGGCCAACAGACUCUGGGGUGGAUCAUAGGAAGGGGACAUUCCUAAUGGACCAGCUGGGACUACAUUGAUGGAGGAGGAAAAGAAGGAGAAGGAGGAAGAAGAGGAGGAGGAAGAGGAAGCAGAAGAAGAAGAAGAAGAAGAAGAAGAAGAAGAAGA